rnacentral:rRNA from 1 species
AACGAACGCUGGCGGCAGGCUUAACACAUGCAAGUCGAACGCCCCGCAAGGGGAGUGGCAGACGGGUGAGUAACGCGUGGGAACGUGCCCUUCGCUUCGGAAUAGCCCCGGGAAACUGGGAGUAAUACCGGAUACGCCGUAUUGGGAAAGAUUUAUCGGCGAAGGAUCGGCCCGCGUUAGAUUAGCUAGUUGGCGGUGUAAUGGACCACCAAGGCUACGAUCUAUAGCUGGUCUGAGAGGAUGAUCAGCCACACUGGGACUGAGACACGGCCCAGACUCCUACGGGAGGCAGCAGUGGGGAAUCUUGGACAAGUGGGCGAAAGCCUGAUCCAGCCAUGCCGCGUGAGUGAAGAAGGCC